CUUCUAGAGCCCUAAAACCCAAUCUUCCACUGUUUCAAUCGCUAAUUCUUAAAUCUGAGAAGAAUUUCUGUUUUUUUUUUAUAGAAAGAUUAAAAGGGUUUCAUGGUUUACUUCAAUUGUCUACCUACAGAGAUCACAAUUGACAUUUUAAGCAGGAAUUUGUUCUGGAAUGCAAAUCGGAGAAAUGUUAUUUCUCAUCCAUCAUUCUCCAAAAUUCACUUCGAUCAUCUCAAUAAUUCUUCUGCUGAUGAUGAAUCUGGUAAGUUGGGUUUUCUUGCUUCUACUUAUGAUAUUUAUUUAUCAUAAUAAAAAAAUUCAUUAUAUUGAGUGUGUUGAAAAUCAUGAAUCAAAUCCCCCCAAUAAGCAUUUUAGUUUUCUUGGUUCAUUUAAUGGGUUGAUCUGUCUUGCUGAAGGCCAAUCAGUGUGUAUUUGUAACCCCAUCACAAAAGAAUAGGUGAUGGUUCCAGAAAUUAAGAGAAAUUGGUGUGAUAUUGAACGGUUUACUUUCGCGAGCAGCAGCAGCUUCGGGUAUGUUUCUUCAACCAAUGAGUACAAAGUUGUAGUAAUAUAUUUGUCUACACUCUAGGAUCUGGUAAUGGAUGGAGAAACCUUGGAAAGUUUAAUUUUCAAUUCCGUAUCUAUAUUUGGGAUGUAGCUGGUGUCUUUGCUAAUGGAGCACUUCAUGGGCUGGAUGAUAUAUUUGUGAACCUCUUUCAGGACCUCCUUUGCCACCAGAGAGUAAUUGGUGGUAUAGCAGAAUAGGGGUUUUGGAUGGGCUUUUGUUUUAUUCUAUUAGGCUAGUUGUCCAAGGAGUCCAAGGUUUUGAGACAUGGUUAUUAAAAAGGAACAAUGAUGAGCAUCACAUGAAAGAGCGAGACCAACGUCAGUCAUGGGGUUGGAGUAAAGAGUUUACGAUUGGCGAUUGCAAACUAUUAGCGGUUACGAAGAGCGGCCGUGUUUUAACUUAUGCUGAUAGACAUGUCCACAUUUACGACACAAAAGCUUCAAAUUCGAAAAUGCUUGUGGAGUUCAAUGAAAUGUUCUGUAAAGUAUUUCCUCACAGAAACACUUUAGUUUCACUGAAAGAAUUAGGGGAAGAAUAUACACAUUCAAUGGAGUCAGUUGAAGGAGGCAGAAAUCCGUGAUUCCAGCAGCUAUAGAGGAUGCGGACCCUGAAUACAUUCUCAUAAACUGGUAUUCUACAUUGAGUUUUUAAAGUGAUGUUUGUAUAAUUCUAGGGUGAUGCUCUAAGUUAUUGGCAUUGUCUCACUGAAUUAUGUGUUAUAAGUUACUUUUUAUCCUUUAUAUCAUCGGUUUAACUUUAUAGUAGUGUUCUUUGUAUCGGGUUAAUCUGUGUUGCUUUCUGAAUUGUUCAUUUGUUUAAUAACUCAACCUUAUUUCAAUGGAAACAUGUGAUGGAUAUGUUAGUGAUUUAUUUUGUUUAUUUAUACAUGGGAUGGGAGUCAAAUAAGUAUUUGCAGGCAAAAUUAAGGAAAUGGCAGCUUUUCCAGUACUAGGGAAUACUUCUUACAUUAUCUGGUAGAUAAUUUUAGGGAUCCAUAUUUUUACUUUUCCGUAUUUUCAUCCUGCAUUUUGGUACUGAAAAUAUGUUAACGUCGCAGUUACUAAUUGAUUGGGAAACUGCACUGUCAGUUUGCCUUUGUUCGUCAAUAAAUUUCACAACAACAGUUGAGUUAAGUAGGCAGACUUCUCUGUAAGAAUUAUCAUAUGAUUAAUGUUUCAGUUUUGACCUCACCAACCUAAUUGGUUUGUCGUCAAAUGAUUCUACUUUUCUGUAUCCUUGGGAAGGAUCAAAUAUUAGCAAGGUAGAUUUUGUUUUGGGUCAAGGGGGAUAGAAACUAUAACAAAUUGGUGCAAGUCAAAGCACUUGCCCAUUCUAGUUAUGGAAAUCCAAUGCAGCAUGCUUCAUUCUCCUAGUUCCAACUUUGUCUUCCCCACAAAGUUCAUGACCUUUUGAGAAUACUGCAGAAGUUUGCUUCAUGUCUUAAAUUGCCGUGGCUACCAGAUCAGAGAAAUCUCACAGAUUCUGGACUGGUGGUAGAGGACUCUGGUGGAAAGUUGGACUUUGCCACUCUCAAGUGGAGUGUGGUAUCUUUCUUCAAUUAAGCUCCUCAACAGACAGUAUGGGCAAGGACAAUUGCUGUCAAGAUACUCCUCACCUGGCUAACCAUACAAAUGCAUCAAAUACCUUGGACCGAGAGGAAUCCUUAUGGAGUAGUCAUCUAGAUCUGGAAUGUUGCCUGCUGACAGAGUGGGGAAAGACCAAUGUUACUAGGAAGGGGUGGAUUUUCAAGCUUACCAGAUACAGUUGUAUUUUGUGACGUACAAAUCUCAAAAGAUGGGAUUUAUUUUUUGCUUGUUAGAUAUUAGGCUUGGUAACUCUACAAAUACAGCAAAUUUCUACCUAAAAAUUCUGUUCUGGCUAGAAAACUCACCGUGAACUUAUUAUUCAGGUUGGAAAGGGCUUAUCCAAGGAUGAAAGGGGCUCAAAAACUAGCCUUGCAGUGUUGGCUUGAAGCUGUAAGUUCAGGGACCUUGAUCAAUAUGAACUGUCAGAUUGACCCACGACAUUGGUAUGGUCACAACCUACAUUUCUACUAUGAUGUGUGGUUCGAAGGAGAGAGCAGUCAACCAUUCUACCACUGGUAGAUACUUCCUUUGAAGAUGUCUGUCCCAUAACAGAUCUACUUUUUAUGUUUCUGCUCAUAAAGAAGUAAACCAUGAACGAUGCUCCAGGAAUGAUUUGCAACUCAACUACAUCAAAUGUCUUGGACCCAGGUGUUCUAUCAGUUGCAAGUAUCCUUAUAAAAGUAAGGAUGCCGACACCAACCAAGAGGCAACAGCAGCUCCUGCAGCAAGUGCAUUACCAGAAUACAAAGAUACAGUUCUGAACAAUUAUCCCUUUGAUAACACUGUUCUAUUGUCGUCGAAGCUUACAUGUGGAAGUACCCGCAUACAGUUUUGGAAAAUGAUUAAUGUGCAUUAUGGAAUUCAGGAAUUGGACCUCAUAUUGGCUGUCAUAAAUUCCCCAGGGAGCUUCAAUUCCAAGCUCUGUGAGCCUCCGGAAAGAUACGGUCCUGUGCCUAGUCCUAAACUUGUAUACAUGCGACUCCGUAGUCCCAGAGUUUCCACAUGUAAGCUAAUGCGAAUUUUUGGCCUUGUGAUGAAAUGUUGAAUAAAAUUUGUCUACCUUGGAUUCAUAUUUUUUCUGGGUUGUAAAGCGGAUUUGCUGUAAAAUAUUGCCGUAACAACUAAUAAGGCACAUCCCACGUGUGGCUGUCACAGUA